rfam:Acidobacteria bacterium 13_1_20CM_2_60_10 13_1_20cm_2_scaffold_1289, whole genome shotgun sequence.
GGGCGUGUAGCUCAGUUGGGAGAGCACCUGCUUUGCAAGCAGGGGGUCGCCGGUUCGAGCCCGGCCACGUCCA